UGGCCACUGUGGAGGUGCACACUGCGUGCAGCACGCCCCGACCGCCGACCGCCGCUCCUGGGGCUGUGCGUCGGUGUUAGAGCCACGGCCACAAGUCCCCCGAGCAUCCGCAGCUCUCCGCCCGAGUCCCGCCCCCCCAGCCCCGCCCCCUUGCACAGGUUUCAAAUAUGCAUCGUGGUUUGAUUUUCCCACCACGAACCUCUCGAAGAAAUGCUCGGCCAGCCGUCCUCUUAGACUCCUAGCUCCAGCCUCUGGGAGGGCGCAGAUCAACACAGCUGGCACCGGUGGGGCAACAAGCGGGUAAGGCAGGCGCUGAGGCUCACUGUCUCCGCGCUCCAGGCGAUCCGUAGCUGAAUUAAAACUUCCCAGCAGGGGUUUGGAAGAAGUCUCCGUUGGAGGUGACUACCUUCAACGGUGCAGUGUGUCAAGCCUUUGAGAAAUCUGGGGAAAAUGGAUACAAAAUAAUGGAAUUGACUUUGACUAAUUGUAUUGAUAACCCUGCUUCAGUUCGCACAGUUUUGCUACAACAAAAUACCAUAGGCCAAUGCCGGGUGGUUUAAACAAAUGUGUUUCUACCAGCUCUGGAAGCUGGAAGUCCAAAAUGAAGGUGCUUGCAAUGCAGAUUUCAUUCUGAGACCUUUUGUGGCUUGUAGCUCGCCGCCGUUUUGCUGUGUGAUCGCAGCGGAGGAGGGAGAGGAGCCUCACGCCGGGUCUUGGACUUCAGCACAAAUCUGGGGACACAGCGCAUCCACACUGACCCCGUUACAGGGCUAAUGAAAAGUUGCGGGCAGUGAACAAACUGGAAAACACAAUCAAUUCCAGUCUGCCAAGAAAGUUUUGUGUCUCCUGCAGUGGGAGAUCAGGAAAAGCUGAUGACAAAACUAUAGCUUUGUUUUGUUUUUAGAUACUUUUUUUCCUGAAGUCUAGGCUGGCUUGACAAACACUUUGUUUUUUGGUUAUUUUGGUUUUGUUUUUUUUGGGGGGGUUCUCUCUUUUUGAGAUAGGGUCUCGCUGUGUUUCCCAGGUUGGUCUCUAACUUAGGAUCUUGCUAGAGUAACUCAGCCUCCCAAGUAGCUGGGAUUGCAGGCUUGCACUGCCACGCCUGGCUCCAAGCUUGGAAUUAAGAAGACUUCAGACGUGUUUGAAUUCCCAGCUGGGGCAGGUCCAUUAAUUCCAGGUCAGGGCCAAAGCUGGAAAAACUUGAGACCCCGGUAAAUGAGGUGGAGUCAUUGGAGUGACUGAAUAAGGCUUUGGCUCCCUUAACUCUGACAUACUAGCGCUUGUGAGGGUUGCACAUCCUUCUACGUAGCGUGUUAGAAUCCCCUCCCAGUGAGAAUAUCCGUCCGGCUUAUCAUCCAUCUGCCCCACCUCUUGGAGUUGUGAGGUCUAUCCCUAGGUUUGAGUCACAGCAUAACCCACCUGUGACAUGCUGGCCCUAGUAAUGGCAGAACAGUGCUAUCCUCCCUAAGUGCCUGCAGGGGUUACUCAGCAGAGCCCUGUGGGGACCCAGGGAGAGUUCCCUGGGAGGAAUUUUGUAGGUGCUUGAACAGGGGGUCGGCAACAUGAUAAGGGGAAGUGUAUUGCCUUAGGGACACUCUCUUGGCCUAUGGACUUUAACACCCAGCAGAGCACCCCAGGGAAUGGUACGAACUUACUGCGGUGGGUCAUAAACACCAGGAGGAAAACUGUCCGCAGUAAGCCGAGUUGAGUGCCUGAGUUGCCGUAGCAGGUGGUGGAGAAGGAAUGAGAGGCUCACCGAAGGAGGUACGGUGGAGUGAACCCCAUGAGUGCCGAAGACCCCAGAGGACUUGUUCUAGGACACUGCACAGAGGACGGCGGGUCAGCAAGGCUGUCAGGUGUUCCUGAAGGGGGCACUGGAGUCCUGAGGGUCCGCGGUGGCUGCCCUCCGCCGUCUCAGCUGGUGUUUGUUGAAGGAAUUUUUGAAGAACAGUGCCUCCUUGAAUGUAAGAAGAAUUGAACACGAAUACAUAAAGCUGAACAAGAACAAAAAAUAGAUACUCUGGAAAUAUCACAAGUCAUGACCAUUUACUUUGAGCUUAAAGUAGAUUCUCCCCAAAGGGCGGGCCAGAGCAGCCUGGACAACUCUACUUUCUCAGUUCAGUAACUCCAAGAAAACAAAGGUCUUCUUACCAGUGUCUGCAUAUUCACCUGGAGGAGCCUCUGGUCGGUGUCUUGGGGUCCUAGGUCUGCACUCCUCAACCAUCGCUGCAGCUGAGCAGGUGGGGUCUCUGGUCAGGCCUGGGUCCCUGUGGCCUGAGAUCGACUGCUCCGUCAGGACAGGGUGCAGCGGAGGGGUUUCUCAGUACACAGGACCAUGGGGUUGGAGAACUUGAAGGGGCAAAGGGCGUCUGCCUUUGCUGUUGAACUGUUUGACUUGGCCAAAUGUCAGAUGACAGUCCCGAACGUGUGUGUACCACCCUGAACAGUCCGUGGAUGUAAAACCUCUGGGGAGUUGGAGGGAUGCGGUAGGGCUGCAGCUAGGGACAGCAGUUACAUCGAGCAGUGAUUUAAGUUUCAUUCAAGCGUGACUUAAAGUUAAAAAUAAUGUAAACUAUAAGGUUCCUUCAAUACAUUACAAUAUAAAACUAAUUAUGAGCUUAUAGCAUUGGAGAAGAGUGACAGCAGUUAUACCAGCUUAAUCUCCAGGACCUAACAGUUCAAAGACAAGAGGCUGGAUGUGAAGUGAUAAUUCAGUACUGCAGUAAAACCUACAAAGAUGCUACCGAAAGCUCCUUAAGCACAUUUUAAAGUUGUACCUGUUCUAUGAUACAUCUUGGAUAAGAUACAUCAAACAUAAGUUGCUAAUUCAAUCUUAUAAGUUACUAAAUAUAUACUGAAUACUGGAGUGUAUAUAAGUUGUGAUACUGUACCUAGUAGACUAGAUAUUACUUGAUUAUUUUAUUCUCUGUAUUAACCUAUGUUUUAUAAGCAGUUGAGUAAAUGGCAAUUUUAUGCUCAAAUCAGAAACACUUUCUUUUAAUAUUUUAAAUAAAACUUAUGCUAAGCAAAGUAAUGAUGCAUAGUUUAAAUAAUCUCAAUUAACAUAAGAAGUACUUUGAAGGUUGCUUCCAACAAAAAUGUCAGCUUACUGACAUGAAUUCCUGGUGGUGACCAGAAGACACUUCUAAGCAUUUGAUUUUUUUUUUUUUAAUUACUUGCUAGGUAAGCACUCUACUACUGAGCCAAUCCCUAGGCAAAUUUUUCCUUGGCAUCAUUAUCUAGAAAAUUUUCUUUUUUUUUUUUUGUUUUGUCUUUUUGA